AGGGUUACAAGUGGGGUCUGGAUGGGAACUGAGUGCGUAAUUUAUUUUAAAACCAAUCUUUUUUUUUUCCUUUUCCUUUUAAGUGUUUGCACCGAUAGGCUCGGUGGACAGUUCGGGAAAAUUCACACUUCCUCCUAUGGUUCUAUUCCC